ensembl:lncRNA novel transcript, antisense to OBSCN
ACACAAGAGAUAGCCUGACCAGACAGGGCUUCCAUCCAGCAGUGCCCAUGCCUAGAUAUACCUGGCGCACCGCACAACAUCCCAGCCCACACAAGGCCCUGCUACCUCCAUCCAACAUACUGCUAGACUGACCCUACUGAAUCCACAUUCCCACAUAUUACCCUGACUCAUAUCACCUAGAUCAUGACAGACACCAGAUGUGGCCUUGAACCACACCUCUGAACCUCCAAUCUACCAUUCUCUCUUGCCUCCUGACUCCAGGCAGGGGGCUCACAAGUUAGCAGAGCAGGGCCUAACCCAAUUACAUAGCCAUAGACUGCUAUGGGUUGUGUUUCUACAGAAGUCAAAUGUUGAAGUCCUAACUUCCACUAUUUCAGAAUAUGACUGUUUUUGAGAUAGGGCCUUUAAAGAGGUGAUUAAUGCUAAAUGGGAUCACAAGGGUGGUAUCUAAUCCAAUAUAAAUGCUGUCCUUAUAAGAAAAGGAGAUUAGGACACAAACAGAGAAGGACCAGUGAAGACACAGAGAAAAUGGCUGUCUACAAGCAAAGGAGAGAGGCCUCAGAAGGAGCCAACCGUACUGACACCUGGAUCUCAACCAUCUAGCCUCCAGAAUGGAACGUCUAUCCUAUGCCUGCACCACCACUGCAUUUUGGAAGCACAAAACUUGUCUGGUUCCAUGCUUCACAACUGAAGAAGAAUUUUGCCUUGGAAUGACUCAUACUUCACCUCCCUCAUGCUUGACUUAGAUGCGUUCAGAUGAGAUUUUGAUUUUGAGUUGAUGCUGGAAUGGGUUAAGAUUACGGGCUGUUAGGAAGGAGUAAGUUUAUUUUGCAUGUUAGACGGUAAUUAAUUGUGGGAAGCCAGAGGGCAGAAUGUCAUGGUCUGAAUUGAGUCCCCUCACCAAAUCCAUGUAUGUUGAAAUCCUAACCCCUAGUACUUCACAAUGUCACUGUAUUGAAAUGGUAUCUUUGAAAGGUAAAAUGAGGUUGUUAUGAAGGGCCCAAUCCAAUGUGACCAGAGUAUCUACAAGCCAAGAAAAGAGGCCUAAGGAGAAACCAACCAAGUGACUCCUUGAUCUUGGAAUUUCAGACUCCAGAAGUCUGAGAAAAUAAAUAUCUGCUGUGAAGUUA